AGGUUUGGACAUGCUGACCUCCUUGGUCACAGGCUGGAGAGAUGGAGAUCUCCUUCCUGGAGAUGUGGAGGCAGAUGGCCUCUCUUUACGGAAGAUUCAUGUGGGCUGUGAGGAAGAACUUCCUUUCUGGUCACUCAUCGAAUGCUGCUGAGAAUGCAGAGGCGGCUGGGCGGCUCCCUGCAAGUGAAGGCAUGAGAGAGGCCAUUUCUCCCUGCUCCAGAGCCUGGGAGAGGCGAUGGUGCCACCAGGACACACCUCAGGAGGCCACAGUCAGCACAGGAGCGCUACUACAGGGCCCACGAUUUUUAGAUGGGAAGAACAGUGGAGAACCAGACUGAGAAGCAGAAAAAAGGCAGGAUGAGGACCAGGGUUGCCUGGGGGACUAGGAGCCCCCCGCCUUCCCUCUCAGACAUCAGCACCAGAAGGAACGCCAUCCAGGUACUGUGUCUCACCUUGACUCUCUGGAUUGAGGGUCAUAUCUCCUGGCAGCUCAUCCCUUGGCCCAGCUUGGAAGUCAGAGACCUGCUGGAUGGGAGCAGGACACAGGGAAAGAAGAUUCUGCAAAACAGAGUCAUGCUGUUAGGGAG
rnacentral:lncRNA from 1 species